rnacentral:pre_miRNA from 4 species
AGUGAGAUUGCUGGGUAACAUGAUAUAUGUUCAACUUUUUAAGAAAGUGCCAAACUGUUUUCCAGAGUGGCUGUGACAUUUUGCAUUCCCACCAGCAAU